rnacentral:rRNA from 1 species
UACGUAGGGUGCGAGCGUUAAUCGGAAUUACUGGGCGUAAAGCGUGCGCAGGCGGCUUCGCAAGUCAGGCGUGAAAUCCCCGGGCUUAACCUGGGAAUGGCGUCUGAAACUACGGAGCUGGAGUGUGGCAGAGGGAGGUAGAAUUCCACGUGUAGCGGUGAAAUGCGUAGAUAUCGGGAGGAAUACCUAUGGCGAAAGCAGGCUUCUGGGCCAUCACUGACGCUGAGCUGCGAAAGCUAGGGGAGCAAACAGG